rnacentral:tRNA from 1 species
GUGUCUGUAGCCUAGUGGUAAAAGACAGCACUCUAGAUGCUGAGAUUGUGGGUUUGAAUUCCACCAGACACA